rnacentral:rRNA from 1 species
GGAGGAAAGUAGGGGAUCGCAAGACCUUGCGCUUUUUGAGCGGCCGAUGCCUGAUUAGCUAGUUGGUAAGGUAAUGGCUUACCAAGGCAACGAUCAGUAGCUGGUCUGAGAGGACGACCAGCCACACUGGGACUGAGACACGGCCCAGACUCCUACGGGAGGCAGCAGUGGGGAAUUUUGGACAAUGGGCGAAAGCCUGAUCCAGCCAUGCCGCGUGAGUGAAGAAGGCCUUCGGGUUGUAAAGCUCUUUCGGUCGGGAAGAAAUAGUUGUGGCUAAUAUCCACAAUGAAUGACGGUACCGACAUAAGAAGCACCGGCUAACUACGUGCCAGCAGCCGCGGUAAUACGUAGGGUGCAAGCGUUAAUCGGAAUUAUUGGGCGUAAAGGGUGCGCAGGCGGUUGUAUAAGUCAGAUGUGAAAUCCCUGGGCUUAACCUAGGAAUUGCGUUUGAAACUACAAGGCUAG